rnacentral:rRNA from 1 species
GACAGAGGGUGCAAACGUUGUUCGGAAUUACUGGGCGUAAAGCGUGUGUAGGCGGCCUUGCACGUCGGGUGUGAAAUCCCAUGGCUCAACUAUGGAAGUGCACUCGAAACUGCAGGGCUAGAGUCCUGGAGAGGAAGGUGGAAUGCUUGGUGUAGAGGUGAAAUUCGUAGAUAUCAAGCGGAACACCGGUGGCGAAGGCGGCCUUCUGGACAGUGACUGACGCUGAGACGCGAAAGCGUGGGGAGCAAACAGG